rnacentral:rRNA from 1 species
CCUACGGGGGACAGCAGUGGGGAAUAUUGGGCAAUGGGCGCAAGCCUGACCCAGCAACGCCGCGUGAAGGAAGAAGGCUUUCGGGUUGUAAACUUCUUUUCUCAGGGACGAAGCAAGUGACGGUACCUGAGGAAUAAGCCACGGCUAACUACGUGCCAGCAGCCGCGGUAAUACGUAGGUGGCAAGCGUUAUCCGGAUUUACUGGGUGUAAAGGGCGUGUAGGCGGGAAAGCAAGUCAGAUGUGAAAACCAUGGGCUCAACCUGUGGCCUGCAUUUGAAACUGUUUUUCUUGAGUACUGGGGAGGCAGACGGAAUUCCUAGUGUAGCGGUGAAAUGCGUAGAUAUUAGGAGGAACACCAGUGGCGAAGGCGGUCUGCUGGACAGCAACUGACGCUGAGGCGCGAAAGCGUGGGGAGCAAACAGGAUUAGAUACCCUUGUAGUC